rnacentral:rRNA from 1 species
UACGUAGGUGGCAAGCGUUGUCCGGAAUUAUUGGGCGUAAAGGGCGCGUAGGUGGCCCCUCAAGCGUGCGGUGAAAGUCAGGGGCUCAACCCCUGAUCGGCCGUGCGAACUGGGGAGCUUGAGCACUGUAGAGGCAGGCGGAAUUCCGGGUGUAGCGGUGGAAUGCGUAGAGAUCCGGAAGAACACCGGUGGCGAAGGCGGCCUACUGGGCAGUUUUGCUGACACUGAGGCGCGACAGCGUGGGGAGCAAACAGG